AUUGAACGCUGGCGGCAUGCCUUACACAUGCAAGUCGAACGGUAACAGGUCUUCGGAUGCUGACGAGUGGCGAACGGGUGAGUAAUACAUCGGAACGUGCCUAGUAGUGGGGGAUAACUACUCGAAAGAGUGGCUAAUACCGCAUGAGAUCUACGGAUGAAAGCAGGGGAUCGCAAGACCUUGUGCUACUAGAGCGGCCGAUGGCAGAUUAGGUAGUUGGUGGGAUAAAAGCUGACCAAGCCGAGGAUCUGUAGCUGGUCUGGGAGGACGAUCAGCCACACUGGGACUGAGACACGGCCCAGACUCCUACGGGAGGCAGCAGUGGGGAAUUUUGGACAAUGGGCGCAAGCCUGAUCCAGCAAUGCCGCGUGCAGGAUGAAGGCCUUCGGGUUGUAAACUGCUUUUGUACGGAACGAAAAGCCCUGGGUUAAUACCCUGGGGUCAUGACGGUACCGUAAGAAUAAGCACCGGCUAACUACGUGCCAGCCGCCGCGGUAAUAC
rnacentral:rRNA from 1 species